GACGAACGCUGGCGGCGUGCCUAAUACAUGCAAGUCGAGCGGACCUUUGAAGAGCUUGCUCUUUGAGGUUAGCGGCGGACGGGUGAGUAACACGUGGGCAACCUGCCUGUAAGCUUGGGAUAACUCCGGGAAACCGGUGCUAAUACCGCAUAGAACAAAGGACCGCAUGGUCCUUUGUGAAAAGACCUUGUGUCACUUACAGAUGGGCCCGCGGCGCAUUAGCUUGUUGGUGGGGUAACGGCCUACCAAGGCGACGAUGCGUAGCCGACCUGAGAGGGUGAUCGGCCACACUGGGACUGAGACACGGCCCAGACUCCUACGGGAGGCAGCAGUAGGGGAUCUUCCGCAAUGGACGAAAGUCUGACAGAGCAACGCCGCGUGAGCGAUGAAGGUUUUCGGAUCGUAAAGCUCUGUUGUCAGGGAAGAACCGCCGGGAUAACCUCCCGGUCUGACGGUACCUGACGAGAAAGCCCCGGCUAACUACGUGCCAGCCGCCGCAGUAACAC
rnacentral:rRNA from 1 species